rnacentral:rRNA from 1 species
GGAAGAAGCGAAAGUGACGGUACCUGCAGAAAAAGCGCCGGCUAACUACGUGCCAGCAGCCGCGGUAAUACGUAGGGCGCAAGCGUUAUCCGGAAUUAUUGGGCGUAAAGAGCUCGUAGGCGGUUUGUCGCGUCUGCUGUGAAAACCCGAGGCUCAACCUCGGGCCUGCAGUGGGUACGGGCAGACUAGAGUGCGGUAGGGGAGAUUGGAAUUCCUGGUGUAGCGGUGGAAUGCGCAGAUAUCAGGAGGAACACCGAUGGCGAAGGCAGAUCUCUGGGCCGUAACUGACGCUGAGGAGCGAAAGGGUGGGGAGCAAACAGGCUUAGAUACCCUGGUAGUCCACCCCGUAAACGUUGGGAACUAGUUGUGGGGUCCAUUCCACGGAUUCCGUGACGCAGCUAACGCAUUAAGUUCCCCGCCUGGGGAGUACGGCCGCAAGGCUAAAACUCAAAGGAAUUGACGGGGACCCGCACAAGCGGCGGAGCAUGCGGAUUAAUUCGAUGCAACGCGAAGAACCUUACCAAGGCUUGACAUAUACAAGAACGGGCCAGAAAUGGUCAACUCUUUGGACACUCGUAAACAGGUGGUGCAUGGUUGUCGUCAGCUCGUGUCGUGAGAUGUUGGGUUAAGUCCCGCAACGAGCGCAACCCUCGUUCUAUGUUGCCAGCACGUAAUGGUGGGAACUCAUGGGAUACUGCCGGGGUCAACUCGGAGGAAGGUGGGGAUGACGUCAAAUCAUCAUGCCCCUUAUGUCUUGGGCUUCACGCAUGCUACAAUGGCCGGUACAAAGGGCUGCAAUACCGCAAGGUGGAGCGAAUCCCAAAAAGCCGGUCCCAGUUCGGAUUGAGGUCUGCAACUCGACCUCAUGAAGUCGGAGUCGCUAGUAAUCGCAGAUCAGCAACGCUGCGGUGAAUACGUUCCCGGGUCUUGUACACACCGCCCGUCAAGUCAUGAAAGUCGGUAACACCU